rnacentral:rRNA from 1 species
GUGGGGAAUAUUGGACAAUGGGCGAAAGCCUGAUCCAGCCAUGCCGCGUGUGUGAAGAAGGUCUUCGGAUUGUAAAGCACUUUAAGUUGGGAGGAAGGGCAGUAAGUUAAUACCUUGCUGUUUUGACGUUACCGACAGAAUAAGCACCGGCUAACUUCGUGCCAGCAGCCGCGGUAAUACGAAGGGUGUAAGCGUUAAUCGGAAUUACUGGGCGUAAAGCGCGCGUAGGUGGUUUUGUAAGUUGGAGGUGAAAUCCCCGGGCUCAACCUGGGAACUGCCUCCAAAACUACAUGACUAGAGUACGGUAGAGGGUAGUGGAAUUUCCUGUGUAGCGGUGAAAUGCGUAGAUAUAGGAAGGAACACCAGUGGCGAAGGCGACUACCUGGACUGAUACUGACACUGAGGUGCGAAAGCGUGGGGAGCAAACAGGAUUAGAUACCCGGGUAGUCC